ACAAAGACUGACGCUCAGGUGCGAAAGCGUGGGGAGCAAACAGGAUUAGAUACCCUGGUAGUCCACGCCGUAAACGAUGUCGACUUGGAGGUUGUGCCCUUGAGGCGUGGCUUCCGGAGCUAACGCGUUAAGUCGACCGCCUGGGGAGUACGGCCGCAAGGUUAAAACUCAAAUGAAUUGACGGGGGCCCGCACAAGCGGUGGAGCAUGUGGUUUAAUUCGAUGCAACGCGAAGAACCUUACCUACUCUUGACAUCCAGAGAACUUAGCAGAGAUGCUUUGGUGCCUUCGGGAACUCUGAGACAGGUGCUGCAUGGCUGUCGUCAGCUCGUGUUGUGAAAUGUUGGGUUAAGUCCCGCAACGAGCGCAACCC
rnacentral:rRNA from 1 species